rnacentral:rRNA from 1 species
AUUGAACGCUGGCGGCAUGCUUUACACAUGCAAGUCGAACGGUAACAGGUUAAGCUGACGAGUGGCGAACGGGUGAGUAAUGCAUCGGAACGUGCCCGGUCGUGGGGGAUAACGCAGCGAAAGCUGCGCUAAUACCGCAUACGAUCUGAGGAUGAAAGCGGGGGACCGUAAGGCCUCGCGCGAUCGGAGCGGCCGAUGUCAGAUUAGGUAGUUGGUGGGGUAAAGGCUCACCAAGCCAACGAUCUGUAGCUGGUCUGAGAGGACGACCAGCCACACUGGGACUGAGACACGGCCCAGACUCCUACGGGAGGAAGCAGUGGGGAAUUAUGGACAAUGGGCGAAAGCCUGAUCCAGCAAUGCCGCGUGCAGGAAGAAGGCCUUCGGGUUGUAAACUGCUUUUGUACGGAGCGAAAAGGCCUCCUCUAAUACAGGGGGCUCAUGACGGUACCGUAAGAAUAAGCACCGGCUAACUACGUGCCAGCAGCCGCCGUAA